rnacentral:misc_RNA from 1 species
GUAACAAGGUCUCCGUUGGUGAACCAGCGGAGGGAUCAUUACCGAGUUUACAACUCCCAAACCCCUGUGAACAUACCUAUACGUUGCCUCGGCGGAUCAGCCCGCGCCCCGUAAAACGGGACGGCCCGCCCGAGGACCCCUAAACUCUGUUUUUAGUGGAACUUCUGAGUAAAACAAACAAAUAAAUCAAAACUUUCAACAACGGAUCUCUUGGUUCUGGCAUCGAUGAAGAACGCAGCAAAAUGCGAUAAGUAAUGUGAAUUGCAGAAUUCAGUGAAUCAUCGAAUCUUUGAACGCACAUUGCGCCCGCCAGUAUUCUGGCGGGCAUGCCUGUUCGAGCGUCAUUUCAACCCUCAAGCUCAGCUUGGUGUUGGGACUCGCGGUAACCCGCGUUCCCCAAAUCGAUUGGCGGUCACGUCGAGCUUCCAUAGCGUAGUAAUCAUACACCUCGUUACUGGUAAUCGUCGCGGCCACGCCGUAAAACCCCAACUUCUGAAUGUUGACCUCGGAUCAGGUAGGAAUACCCGCUGAACUUAAGCAUAUCAAUAAGCGGAGGAAAAGAAACCAACAGGGAUUGCCCUAGUAACGGCGAGUGAAGCGGCAA